rnacentral:rRNA from 1 species
AACGAACGCUGGCGGCAUGCCUAACACAUGCAAGUCGAACGAGACCUUCGGGUCUAGUGGCGCACGGGUGCGUAACGCGUGGGAACCUGCCCUUAGGUUCGGAAUAACUCACCGAAAGGGGUGCUAAUACAGGAUAAUGUCUUCGGACCAAAGAUUUAUCGCCUUUGGAUGGGCCCGCGUUGGAUUAGCUAGUUGGUAGGGUAAAAGCCUACCAAGGCGACGAUCCAUAGCUGGUCUGAGAGGAGGAUAAGCCACAAUUGGACUGAGACACGGCCCAGACUCCUACGGGAGGGAGCGGUAGAGAAUAUUGUGCGAGGGGCGAAGGCCUGAUCCAGCAGUGCCGCGUGAGUGAUGAAGGCCUUAGGGUUGUAAAGCUCUUUGACCCGAGAUGAUAAUGACAGUACCGGGAGAAUAAGCUCCGGCUAACUCCGUG